rnacentral:tRNA from 1 species
GGUGGCUCGGUGGGAGAGCGCUUGUCUUGCAUGCAUGAGGCCCUGGGUUCGAUUCCCCAGCACCA